AGUGAACGCUGGCGGUAGGCCUAACACAUGCAAGUCGAACGGCAGCACAGUAAGAGCUUGCUCUUACGGGUGGCGAGUGGCGGACGGGUGAGGAAUACAUAGGAAUCUUCUUUUUCGGGGGGGAUAACGUAGGGACAGUUACGCUAAUACCGAAUACGACCUACGGGAGAAAGCAGGGGAUCUUCGGGCCUUGCGCGAUUGAAUGAGCCGAUGUCGGGUUAGCUAGUUGGUGGGGUAAAGGCACACCAAGGCGACGAUCCGUAGCUGAUCUGAGAGGAUGAUCGGCCACACUGGAACUGAGACACGGUCCAGACUCCUACGGGAGGCAGCAGUGGGGAAUAUUGGACAAUGGGCGCAAGCCUGAUCCAGCCAUACCGCGUGAGUGAAGAAGGCCUUCGGGUUGUAAAGCCCUUUUGUUGGGAAAGAAAAGCAGCAGGUUAAUACCCCGCUGUUCUGACGGUACCCAAAGAAUAAGCACCGGCUAACUUCGUG
rnacentral:rRNA from 1 species